UUGGAAAUAUGGUCUUUCUAGAUGUAAUCAAGUAACGAUGAGUCAUCCUGGAUUGGGGGCUGCUGGUGAGGGGGCAGAUGCAAUGACUGGUGUCCUUAUAAAAGAAGAGAAUGAGGGCUGGGCAUGGUGGCUCAUGCCUGUAAUCUCAGCACACUUUGGGAGGGUGAGGUGGGGGGAUCACUUGAAGUCAGGAGUUCGAGACCAGCCUGGCCAAUAAUAACAAUAAAAAAGCCAUUUUAGAUUCCAAUCCACUGAAAGAAAACUGUCCCUUAGUUAAUGUCAUGCUUAUUGGAUCCAUGAAGUCUUUGCAAAUUUAAACUACAAGGACACUGCUCUCUGUGGUGGUGGAGAGAAUACCAAGGAUUUAAAGGUCUUUAAGAAAGAGAAUGUAGAAAUCGUACCCAUUGGAAACAGCAAGAUGAUGAUAAUCGUACUGACAGUAAUAAUAAGCUCAAAUAUAUAGAGCUUACUAUGUAUCAUGAAUUGUUCUGAAUGCUUCAUAAAUAUACGUUCCCUCCUUUACCCUCAUGGCAGCCCAGUAAAGGCGCCAUUCCCCAUUUUACAGCUGGGGAAACUGAGUUACAGAGCUUUUCUGCACUGAGUCAUCAGGAGCAAAUGCUAGAUCAGGUAAUUGAACCCAAGCAAUCUGGUUCCAGAGCCAAAGAGAUGUAUUUUUUAUGGUAUAAAAACAUAUACAUACAUUUUUAGGGGAAGGGUGGGGGUAGGAUGGGAUGAGGAUUCUGGGUAAUUGCUUGGUAAAUGCCAAAUACCUUUCUUGUCUGUCCCUCUUUUCAAAUGAUAAAGUAAUGUCAAUUGCAGCACUUUUUUUUUUUUUUUGAGACAAGUUCUAGCUGGAGUACAGUGAUGCAGUCAUAGCCCACUGCAGCCUGAAAUUCCUGGGCUCAAGCGAUCCACCCACAUCAGCUUCCCAAGUAGUUGGGACUACAGGCCCACACUAGUAUGCCCAGCUAAUUAUUUUAAUUUUUGUAGAGAUGGCAGGUGGCGGUGUGGGGGUGUCUCUCUAUGUUGCCCAGGCUGGUCUCGAACUCUUGACCUCAAGUGAACCUCCUGCCUCAGCCCCACAAAGCUCUGGAAUUAUAGGUGUGAGCCACUGUGGCUGGCUACAACACUAUUUAUUUAUAUUUUGGACCAACAGAUAUUCUAGCAUAUAAGAAAUGUGAUGCUCUCUGUACAUUGAAGAGUUGGUCUAAUAUUUGUCCUGGUCGAUACAGAAAUUGCCUGUUUGCUCCACUCUGGUUGAAGAAACCAGUCUGACUGUCUCUGAGGCUAUGGAGCAGUCCAUCAAGAAUGAAAGCCCUCUGCCAGGCACGUUGGCUCACACCUGUAAUACCAGCACUUUGGGAGGCCGAGGCAGGUGGAUCACUUGAGGUCAGGAGUUCGACACCAGCAUGGCCAACAUGGUGAAACCCUGUCUCUACAGAAAAUAAUACUUUGCAAGGCCUCAGAAACUCUGCUAUCCACAGGCAGGUAGAAGUUGCUGGUCCCAUCUUGCUCACAAUCCUCCAAAGUUUGGAAGUUACUUUCCAGGAGACUUAGCUUGCACUGAGAGCUGCCCUCCCACCCUCUCUCCAAAUUUCCUCUUGGGAGUAGCCUAACAAGGUGCUGUCACAGACCCUUGCCAGCCACGAUGACCCCACCCAGACCAUCCCUCUGCUGUUUCACUCUUUGAUACUCUCUGGAGCUCUCUGGGGAGGGGUGAGACCUGCUGUCUGCUUUGUACUGUUUGCCCAGGUCUUACAGUCAUGGCUGGCUCCUCUCUCUGAGAACUGGGACUCCUGAACUUGGUGAAAUACCUCAGCCAUCGAUCAUGUUAAAUUAUCGGGGACACUCAUUAAAAAUGUGAGUCUGCUCCAGAUGGACUCUCUCUCUUUCUGCCCUGACCGUGAGGGAGACCGUGAGAGAGAGAGACCGUGAGAGAGAGAAACCGUGAGAGAGACCAUCAGAGAGAGAAAGAGAGACCGUGCCCUGACCUGCUGGACAGUGGAGAUGCUUGUGGGCUGUGAGCAACAGAUGCAAGGGCUGCCGGGAAUCCCAUCUUUCCAGCAUCAUCUGCCAAGGCACAUCAGUUCCUGGGUGUCUUGAUGGGUUCUGGCAGCAUUACUGUCAUUGAAGGAAAACAUUUUAGCCAUAUUAAAGGUGAACUCAGCAAUCCCCACACAGCCUGCCUGGAAGGGACGCGGGACAAGGGUAGGUUCUCCCUGUGAUGGACAGGAGGCAGGCGACCCUCCCACAGCCCUACCUGGCAAUGCAGAUGUGUCCCCAAAAGGCACUGGGGGCAGCUGGAGUGCUGUGCCUAGGCGGGCUCACCCGGGCAGCGGUUCGCUCUGAUUGCAGUGGUUUCCCACCAGCUCCUUGGAGAGCUGGCAGAUGACCCAGCCCCACAGCAGGAGCCGGGAAUGGCAGAACGAGAUACAACAAUUUGAUAUCCACUUGCCAGAUGAGCCGGGUGUCCUCAGUCGCCUGGCUCUGUGCCCAACCUCUUUUUACAUAAACACUUAUGAAUUGAGCCAGGAGGAAAAGCACUCUGAUUAUGAAUUGAGCAGAAGGAAACAAAGUUCUGCAGAUAAACACCAAUGAAACAAAAAACCACGAAUAAGAAAAAUGACAGAAAAGGAGAACCUUCCCAGAAGCCUCCUGCCAGUGAACGGUCACCAGAGCAAGAGCAUGGAGGCCCUGGGUUUUGAACUGUGAGAUAAGGAAGAUGAUGAAAACCUCCCUAGCAGCCAGGCAAGCACAAGAUUCCUGUGAAAUCCAGGUCUAAGUGUUUUGACAACAGAAGUAAUAUUAUGUCAUAGGUGAGAGCUGUGAGUUGCUGAACCCAAAGUGAGUUCAAAUCCGAGCUCUGCCUCCUGCUACCUGUGUGACUUUGAGAAGUUCCAGCACUGCUUUGUGCCUCAGUUUUGUCAUCUGUUAAAUGGGCGUAAUCACAGCUCCUGCCUCAGAGUUGUUGUAAAUUAAUACAUGUAAAGCACUGAAAUCAGCCUGGUAUAUAGUAAGUGUUAUGAACGUUAUUUUCUUGGAAGGACAGAACUUAUUUUCAUGGUCUAAUCCUGAAAGUCUAAAAAAUGUGAGAGAAGAGGAAAGAAUCUAGAGUCUCACCAUGAGGGGGAAAAGUCAACUUGAAGCAGGACAGGGUCAUUGACAAUUUCCUGUGAUUCCACAGCUGCCUUGUACACUAUGGUAGCUCCUAGCCACUCGUUGUUUAGAUUUUGUGAUUUAGAAAUGAAUUAAGGCCGGGCAUGGUGGCACACCUGUAAUCCCAGCAUUUUGGGAAGCCAAGUUGGGCAGAUCACCUGAGGUCAGGCGUUCAAGAUCAGCCUGGCCAACAUGGUGAAAUCUCGUCUCUACAAAAAUACAAAAAUUAGCCGGGCAUGAUGGUGGGUUCUUGUAAUCCUGGCUACUCAGGAGGCUGAAGCAGGAGAAUUGCUUGAACCUGGGAGAUGGAGGUUGUAGUGAGACGAGAUUGCACCACUGCAUUCCAGCCUGGAGGAGAGAGUGAGACUCUGUCUCAAAAAAAAAUUUAGUUAAGAGAAAAUUGAAAAUUCAGUUCUUCAUUCUCACCAGCCACAUUUCAAGGGCUCAUCAGCCCAUGUGGAUGUCUAGCAGCUCCCAUGUUGGAUAGUGCAGAGUAGAGCAAGUCCGCCAUUGCAGAAUGUUUGAUUGGACCAUGACUGAAUAGUCUAUUGCAGUGGUCCCCAAUUUUUUUUAGCACCAAGGACCAGUUUCCAUGUAUUUGUGGGGGGAAGUUUCAGGAUGAUUCAAGUGCAUUACAUUUAUUGUGUACUUUGUUUCUAUUGUUAUUAACAUUAUAAUAUAUAAUGAAAUCAUUAUACAACUCACCAUAAUGUAGAAUCAGUGGGAGCCCUGCGCUUGUUUUCCUGCAGCUAGAUAACCCCUUCUCCAGGUGGUGGGAGACAGUGACAGAUCAUCAGGCAUUAGAUUCUCAUAAGGAGCACACAACCUAGAUCCCUUCCACAGGCAGUUCACAAUAGGGUUGGUGCUCCUAUCAGAAUCUAAUGCCGCUGCUGAUCUAACAAGAGGCAGAGCUCAGGCGGUAAUGCUAGCCAUGGGGAGCAGCUGUAAAUACAGAUGAAGCUUCACUCACUAGCCCACUGCUCACCUCCUUCUGUGCAGCCCAGUUCCUAACAGGCCACAGACCACUACUGGUCUGUGGUCUGGGGGAUGGGGACCUCUGGUCUAUUGGAUAACACUGGCUUGGAGGGUACUGAUCAUCCAAAGAAGCGCUGAGAUGAUUUGGCCUCCAUUAAUAAGAAUGAUGGACUUUUUUUUUUUUUUGAGACAGAGUUUUGCUCUUGUUGCCCAUGCUGGAGUGCAGUGGCACAAUUUCGGCUCACUGCAACCUCUGCCUCCCAGGUUCAAGAGAUUCUCAUGCCUCAGCCUCCCAAGUAGCUGGGAUUACAGGUGCCUGCCACCAUGCCUGGCUAAUUUUUGUAUUUUUAGUAGAGUCGGGGUUUUGCCAUGUUGACCAGGCUGGUCUUGAAUUCCUGACCUCAAGUGAUCCACCUGCCUCGGUCUCCCGAAGUGCUGGGAUUACAGGCGUGAGACACCGUGCCUGGCCAGAUGGACUUUUUUUGAACAUUUAGUUCCAAGCACCUUCCCUGCAUUUUCUCAGUUAAUCCUCCCAGUGACUCUGAAGCAGGGACUAUGACAAUCUUCAUUUCACAGAUGGGGCAACUCAGGCACAGAGAGGAAGUCAAUGGCCACGGUCGCCCAGCUGAGGAAGGAUGGAGCCGGCUGAGAUCCUGUUCUGGGGAUCUAACUCUGCAGCCUGCAUUCUGGGCUGCUGUAUUCUCCCAUGUUGCUAUCUGACGAGCACAGCAUGGGCUCAGAGUACAGAGAGGAGACACCAGCUAAUAAGGAUAGGUCUGGGGUGAAGGCUGGUGCCUUGGGGAAGAAGAGAGAUGCCCCAUUCUAAAGGGAUGCCGUUGGAAGCUCAUAGUGAUAAAGCAAAGCCAACAGGUUUUGGGGCUGGGAGUUAAGCACACAGCUCUGGUUUCUGCCUUUUCACAGUGGUGAUGAAUGGGCACUGAGACCCUCUCAAGCUAAAGUUGUCAUCACUGCUCUUCAUAGUCUGAAGGUGCAUGAAAUGGUCAACUUUCUUCCAAAGGGCUUUUAUGCCUAAGUCUGAGGUUAGUGUAUAAACAGAUAUUUACUGAAGUCCUGCUGGGUGCAGACACCGUGGCCAGCCCUGAGGCUACAGUCGAGAUGAAGCCAGUCUCUGUCCUCAUGAAGACCUGUCUAUUGAUAAGAAAAGAGAAAGCUCACUGAGCAUUGACCCUGUGCCCACUGCUUUUGGUGCAUCUCUCAUUUAAUCCUUCUAUCAAAUCUGUGAAAUAAACACAUCACCAUCAUCCCUAUUUCACAUUUAGGGAAACAUAUGCUUAGAGAGGGUAAGUAACUUGGUCAAGGUCACACAGCUUCGAACUCUCCUCCCACAGGCGCAGGAAUGAGAUGCAGCAGCUGGGGAAGCCAGGGUCUCUGGCAGUCCUUGUCUCUGGGCAGUGAUCCAGAGAGAGAACACGAUUGUCUCAGCACUGGAUCUUCUUCUGAGUCGUUUUGAAGGAGCAAUUGCAGAGCGUCUCGGUGUUAAACAUCAUGUUGUGAAUGACUCCGUGAUCUCUGACCCAGUGUCCUUGGGGAUAAAGGAGGGGAG
rnacentral:lncRNA from 1 species